UGCCAGCCGCCGCGGUAAUACGGAGGGUGCAAGCGUUAAUCGGAAUUACUGGGCGUAAAGGGCGCGUAGGCGGAUGAUUAAGUUGGAUGUGAAAGCCCAGGGCUUAACCUUGGAACUGCAUCCAAGACUGGUUAUCUAGAGUAUGGUAGAGGAAAGUGGAAUUUCAGGUGUAGCGGUGAAAUGCGUAGAUAUCUGAAGGAACACCAGUGGCGAAGGCGACUUUCUGGAUCAAUACUGACGCUGAGGCGCGAAAGCAUGGGUAGCGAACAGGAUUAGAUA
rnacentral:rRNA from 1 species